rfam:Candidatus Saccharibacteria bacterium RIFCSPHIGHO2_02_FTLL_47_12 rifcsphigho2_02_scaffold_9149, whole genome shotgun sequence.
AUAAUACAAAUAUCGUUACCAAAGACAGUAGCUGUCGCAAGACUUAAUCUGCUACCGAGGUAGAAGCAAGCAAUUGCUCUUAAAAGUCUUUGGAACUUGCCCCACAAACUUUCUCUGAAAGUUUUGAGGGGUAAACCAAGGACUUUUUUAUAGGUAAC